UUUAUUUUUAUUUUUUUUUUAACUUUUUAGAUAAUCCUAAUUAAAGUGUACUUAAAAACUAAAUUUUGUUAUUAAAUUUAAUAAAAUAAGAGAAAUAUUGUCAUUUUUUUUCAAAAAAUUAGUUUCAAGUAAGAAUCUAGAUAAUAGUUUCAAAAAAUAAGGGACUAAUUCUAUUUCAAAGACUGGGUCUAGAGAGAGUUUUUGUUUCCAAAUAGAAUCACCCCAAAGAUUGCCGUAUUUUUUUUUCUUCAGUUAAAUAAAGUUUUUUGUAAUGGCAAAAAAAUUCAAAAUCUGAUUUAAACAAAAUUCUUUUAGAAGAAAACAACAAUAAAAGCUUAGGGUGGAGAUAAUGCCACGACACUGAUUGUUAAUGCCACGACUACAUAUGUGAAAUUCCACUUUUACCCAACUAAACUACUCAUGGCUGCUUUAAAUGACUUUGACAGUUUGAGUGACAUUUACUCUAUUAUCCUUUAAUUUCUCUCUCAUACUUUACUUCCCUAUUUGGCGCGCUCUCUCUCUCUCUCUCCCUCUCUUAAUUCUUUUUGUCAUCCCUACGCCCCAGGCCUAAAUUCACAGCCACAGCGAAGAGGAGUUUCUGGCCAUGCUAUAGGGCAGUAGGUGUUGUUGGCCGCCUGCGAUAUUUGAAGAGAUUGAAAUUGAGGAGAAGAAUGAAUCAAAUAACGGUGGUUCGAUCUCCCUUAUUAGAUUCAGUUCACUGAUGGUUAGGGUGGGUGGUGGGUUUAAUUUUUCCAGACGAGAGACUCAGAGAAGGGAUCGAUGACAACCAAUCUCCAUGGUAGCCUGGAACAGUAUGGACGUGGUGGGUCAUUGUCGUUUGGUAGAGGGAGAGGGAGAGGAUCGUGUUCGACCCCAAGAGACGCCACAGGUACGAGCUGCACUGCAUGUGUAAUCUGGGCUUUUCCCUAGCCUUCUGUUUGUUUGGUUGUUUCACUGUAGCUACUUGACCCAUUAGGUCCCAUGAAGGCAUGAACAACAACAAUGACGAGGACCUUCGAUUCCGCUGAGCCUCACCUCCUCUGGUGGACACAUGAGCCUUGCUAGGGCAUAGACCUCCGUCGAGUUGUCGUUGUAUAAAGCAAGCUCGGACGUCCUCUACUCCGAAACUCGGUGCAGAAACUAUCAAACCCGUGCACUGUUCGAGUUAAUUAAGGUCAUUGUUACUUCUGAGGUAUCGUUGUAUAGUAUGUUACAAAAAAUAACCGCGCUAGAGCUUAGACGAGAGGGGACGGUCGACGGCAAUCCUAGGGAUGUCAAGAGACAGGAAGUUACUUGCGCGUCGAAAUUUCUUCUGACAGCCACAUAUCAGGAUGGGGAUGUCGGCGGCAUGAUGAUAAGCUUCCAGUUAGGCCUAGGAGCAUUGUUGGGUCAGUCACCUACUCACUAACACAACGGUCUGCGCUUACGAAUACGUGUUGAGCUGCAGUCUGUCUAGUGACAAGACAACUAACGAGUCAAGACACGCGCCGAGCUGUGUCAUAUAGUUGCAACCUUUAUCUUUCUAAAAGGUAUACGAACUUUGGGCGGAGAAAUACACACACUCUCUCUCUACAUAGACUUUUUGGUCAUCUAACUUGAUCGUCGAAAAAUUAUUUUUCAGAAACAGCUUCAGAGGUCGUUCUUACUAUUUUUGUGUCGUAGUUAGGCAUAUUGUUGACUAGUGAUUGACUGCAACAACUUCUUAUUUUGUAAACUCACUCCUCAUAAUUGGCGCUGUUUGUGAGAAAUCGAUUAUAGACAUUUGCAAGGCUAGUUCUGAUGGCAUCACAAAGCAGCAAUUAUUCCGAUUGUCGAGAAACUCGUAGGAGACCCCUCAUGCACCCAAAACUCCUGGGGAAAAUUGCUGGAUGAUGUCCAAAGGACGGCCAGGGCCGCCAUUAAGCAAAAUUCAGGUCAGUUGCUCCCUAGAGAAGGAGAAAGCCGUGACAUAACCAUCCAACGCCUACAAAACCAGUUGGCUGAAAUAGCACAAAUCUUGGUUGACAACAAGUUGAUGAAGCCGACUUAAGCAGUAGAGGUAGAACCAUUUGAAGACAGGACCAAAGUACUAAACGGGCGAGUCAAAAUAGAAGGCAGCAUAGAUCUCAUGUCAUCCUAUACAAUUAAAGCGAUAGAAAAUCCGUUAUGUUGAGCAAGCGGAGAGUAUCGCCCAGACGAACUCCCUCCAAUACGAAUCUCUGUGAGAUUCUUCACGCCAAGCGUAAUUGAGAAUGGGAUCUACGCGAUAAGCUUAACAGCCGAACUGUCGCGACAUCGGGCAAAGACAUCAUCCCAAAGGGGUCAGCAACUCGAACAACUAGGCCCAAGCCAAGAAAAUCAGUCCCGAGAUAUCAGGUAUCAUUCUCCUGAGACAUCAAAGGAAUGGAUCCACUAGAGAAAUUUACGCCACCAUGGUUCACACUAUAAGACGGGAGGUCAGACCCAAGAUCCCACAUCAGUCAUGUCAGACAGAUGAUGGCGUUUUGAAAUCACUUGGACGCACUGAUGUGUCAGGUGUUUCCAUCGAGCCAAGGUGCUCUUGGAUUGAAAUGUUUGAAUGGCUUCCUAUCAGAUCAACUGAAAGCUUUCACCAGCUCAACGAGUCAUUUGUAACUCGGUUAUUAUAAACGCCAAAGCACCAAAGGGUGUUGGCUCUCUUUUGACACUCAUAAAGGGUCAGAAUGAAUCACUCUGCAACUACAAUAAGCAUUAUUGAAAGACUUAUAACUAAAUCGAAAAAUAUUCGAAGAAGUUAGUAGUGACCAACUAUAAGCUCGGGCUAACUCCUGGUGAAAGGAUUUGGGAAAACCUGACGCUCAACCCUCCAGCCGAUCUCUGAGACCUCAUGUCUCGGGUCAAAAUAUUUGUUCGGCUGGAGGACGAUGUCCGACAAGCAGAACGAAACUUAGGCUCAACUCCCUAGGGUGAAGGGCAGUUCAAAAGAUGAAAGGAAAGCUUAACUGAUCACGAGAACCAGGCAAGGCGAGGUAUCAAUGUGGUAUUCAAAGAACCAAUCUAUAAGCUCUUUGCCCGAAUUUGAGAUAUAUUGUACUUCAAAAAUCUCGACCCUUAAGAGGAGACCCUAAAAGGCGCUAUCAAUAGUGAAAGUGUUCCUAUCACGAAGAGAAAGGACACAGAACCGAGAGUUGCUGAGCUUUGAAGACUUUACUUGACUAACUCGUAUGGAAUGGACACGUGAAGGAGUUCGUGAAUCAAGAAAAGACCAGAGCAGUGAAGAAAUGGACGAAAUCUAGCAAGAAGAUCUUCCAUUGGGGAUUAUUCACAUGAUAGGAGGCCCCAAUCACCCCAAUCUUAAGAAUAGGAUCCGGGGGAGAUCCACAUGAUUUGACAAAUGAACGAGGUACUCUCGGUCCAAUCAGUGGUUAAGAAGCCGAGGCAAAUAAUGUCUAAACCAAGAAGCAUCACGUUUAUCAAAGCCAACUUAGAGAGGGUCUAGCACCCCCAUGCUGACCCCCUUGUGAUCAAGCUCAUGAUAAACAAUUAUGAUGUGAAAAGAAUCCUUGUAGACACGAGGAGCUCUGUCGAGGUGAUAUAUUAUAACAUUUUUAAACAACUCAAAAUUUUAAAAUUAGACUUAAAACCAGCCUGAGCCCCCUGGUUGGUUUUAACGCUUAAUCUCACUAGCCUUUUUGGGAACUAUGGCUCCCAAAAUUUGAGUUGCAUCACAAGAGCUAGUGAUGGAGUUCGUAGUUGUUGACAUCAUUUUCCCAUAUAAUGCGAUUGUCGGCCAAGAUUGGCCACACAAGAUAAAGGGAGUGGCAUCUACACUACACCAAGUCAUCAAGUUUACCACCCCUGAGGUGAGAAAACCCUUUAUGGAGAUCAAGUAGCGGUUCAAAUAGUGCUAUCUUACUACAAUCUUCACUAAAGCAGCCAUAAAAGAGGCACAAUUGAUUGAGCAGGAGAGCAAGGUUCUAGAAGAUGUCGGGAGACAACCCGAGGCUAAGGUCAUAGAGGACCUAAUACGCUAUGAGCUGGAUACGUCAAGUUCGGAUUGUUUCUUUCUUAUUGGUACAAACCUAGAGAAAUGAGAGAGAAUCGAACUCAUCUAGUUCCUUACAGCAAAUAUUGCGUCUUCACAUGGACACCCUAUGAGAUACCCGAGAUAGACCCCAAUUUCAUCAAACAUGAAUUAAACAUUCUUCCCGACGCCCGACUAGUUAAACAAUGAGAAAGAAGAUCCGCACCCGAGCAUGUAUAUGUUGUGAUCGAAGAGGUGAAAAAGUUAAAGAAAGCAAAUGCAAUAACAGUUCUUUACCUGAGCUGGUUGUCCAACACAGUCGUGAUAAAGAAAAAGACUGGCAAGUGAAGAGUCUGCGUCGACUUUACAAGCCUCAAUCGGGCUUGUCCGAAAGACUACUUUCUUUUGUCAAAGAUUGAUUAAUUGGUGGAUUCCACUUCGGGGCAUGCCCAUAUAAGAUUCCUACAUGCAUACUGAGAUUAUCACCAAAUAACAAUGCACAAGCCCGACCAAGAAUAAACUGCAUUCAUCACCCCUGAGGCAUAUUAUGUUUCAAGGUUAUGGUAUUUGGGCUGAAAAACGCCUGAGGCACAUAUCAGAGGAUGAUCACCAAAAUAUUUGAGGCAAUUAUGGGUAAAAUCAUGGAUGCAUACAUCAAUGAUAUGGUGAUUAAAAGCAAAAGAGAGUCAGACAUUGUCAAGGAUUUAAUCAAAGUAUUUGCAAUAUUGAGAAAACAUAGGAUGAGACUGAACGUAACGAAUUGCACUUUCAAGGUGAGCUCAGAAAAAGUCAUGGGCACUGGGUGACAAGAGGGAUCGAGGUAAAUCUAAAGCAAAUUAUAGCGAUCAGUAACCUUGUCAGCUUGAGGACUGCGAAGAAGGUUCAGAAAUGACUAGAAUGGUAGCAACACUCAACCUAUUCAUUAGUAAGUCUUUUGAUAAGUGCCGACCAUUCUUUCAACUCCUCCGCAAAAAUACAAUUUUUUUAUGGAACAAGUAAUGCGAGCUCGGACUCCAAU
rnacentral:lncRNA from 1 species